rnacentral:ncRNA from 3 species
GGCCGGAUAAGGCGUUUACGCCGCAUCCGGCAAUCAAUGCCUGAUGCGACGCUGUCGCGUCUUAUCAGGCC